rnacentral:lncRNA from 1 species
ACACCCAUGGCAGGUGGAAGUUCCCCGGCCAGGAAUUGACCCUGAGCCACAGCAGUGACUCGAGCCACAGCAGUGACAACGCCAGGCCCCCAGCCUGCUAAAACACCAGGGCACUCUCUUGCAUUGUUUUUUCAAUUGGAGUCGCUUACCUGACCCUGCUCAGCCGUAGCAUCAGUAGGGAAGAAGCUAGAUGGAAAGACAUCACCUGCGCCAUGAAGUUGAGAAGGACCAGCGGCCUGUGAUGGACUUGAAUCCAUAUUCCCAGGCUCACUGCCCCAUAUGCGGUUACACAGGACCCAGAAAUAUCACGCCACAAAGCAUGAGACAACAAAUCACCACAUCGCCAUUCUUUGAAAAAUAGACAUAAAAUGUCACCCACGCGUCAUCAGGGUCCCUGCCCCAGGAGGUCUGGGUGGACUUCACCCAUCCCAGCACUAUGGCCCGUGGCUGGCUGGAGCCCUCACCUGAUGUCCGUGCAUCUCUGUCCUCUGGGCCCCUCUGGCCUCACAGGCUGGCCCUGACCGACCCUGAGCCUCAGAACCUGCCUCGCCAGCAGUUUCCCACAGAAACGCCUUCCACAUCAAGUGGUCUGUGCUUUUUUGUUUGCCAUGGGCUUUUUAGUUGCGUGUCAGAGAAACAGUCGCCCACACGGCACACAAAGAGACCAUCUCCUGAGUGUCCGCACUGCUUCCCCUCCCCCCUCCCCUUCCCCCUGGUGCGGCCAAGCGCUCCCCUCCUGAUUCUGGCCCCAGAGUCAGGUCUGUCCUUGGUCCCUUUAAGGUAUUAGCUUCUCCCCGUAGUUAAUGCAUGAAGAAAAUCCCUCCCUCUCUGUCUCUCUCUCCCCCUCUCAUUCUCCAUUAUGGACUUUUGGUGAUUCUGAGUUUCUGUCUCACUUCAUUCAAUACACAGUAGAGCUUAACAGGACUCUUCUUUAGAAAUUGCCUUAAAUAAUUGCCUUAAAUAGGAUUGUUGGGAAACACUGACUAUUUUCAAGUUUCGAUGGGGUCAGGGUCAGGGAUGUCUGAGCAGCGUGGUGGCACCUGGAGUGGAAGCCACUUGAACAGCCAUGAGCACAGCAGUGCGGGUUGCAAGUUGAAGAUCACGGCCCCUGGCGAGAUGGUCAGCUCUCUUGCCCCUGGAGACAGGUGUUGACGUUCCAAAGGGUAAUGAACCUGAGGACCUUCCUGUUCCCUCUCUUUCUCUCUGGGUUGGGGGUGGGGGGGACGGGGAGCAGAUGGACCCUCAGCUCCUAUAUUAGCUUCAAGAUUCAGUCUUGGAGUCCUUCCCCUGGGGUACAAGCCCCUAGACAUGCAAAGUCAUCUGGGCCUCACAGCGGUUCCCCGAGGGAAGAUGGCCCGUGAGUGACCAGCACUAGGAUGGCUGGGUCAGUAAGUCAACCUUGGAUCCAGAAAGCAUGUGUUUCCUCUCAGGACAAGUAAGACGUCUGGAUAUAAAAACACACAAUGUGGCACGAGGAUAUCCACUUUUUUGCAAUUUGAUAGAAGACGGAUCUCCAAAUUUUGAACUGCAUUGUUUCUUUGGAAACUGUUGACUGAAAGAAUAUGCACAACCUAAAAGUUGAGAGUUAAGUUUUAUUUGGAGCAAAAUGAGGACUUAAGCCCUAGGCGGCAGCAUCUCAAGUAACCCUGAGAAAAGCGCUCCAAGGAAGCGAGGUGGGAGCUGGGAUAUACAGGACAAAGAGCAAGUAGGAACAAAAGACCACUGUUAAUAACAGGAAACCCAGGAGUUCCCGUCGUGGCGCAGUGGAAACAAAUCCAACUAGGAACCAUGAGGUUUCGGGUUCGAUCCCUGGUCUUACUCAAUGGGUUAAGGAUCUGGUGUUGCCAUGAGCUGGAAUGUAAGCUGCAGAUGCAGCUCAGAUCCUGUGUUGCUGUGGCUGUGGUAUAGGCUGGCAACUGUAGCUCCAAUUUGACCCCUACCUGGGGAAGAGAGGUUCGUGAAGAAAAAUCAGGGCAGAAACCAUCAAGAUCUCUGACAAUAUAUUUUCUGGUGAGGCGUCGGGUAUUUCAUUAAAUCUAAGAUACUAACAAUUAUAAGAGGAAUCAUCAUUUUAGGGACCACUAAGAAAAACAGAAACAAGCUGCCAAUUAAACUAUGACAAAAUGCCUUCUAGGACCUCAGAAUUUCCAUUUAGGCUUAUUUAGAUUUAGAUGUUUAUGCUAUAGGGACACAUUGUGGUGCGUAUUUACAGUCUAACACAUGUGGAUGUCUUUCCAGUUUAGUCUCAUCGAUGUUCGUGCUGCUGACACAGCAAUUUUUUUCUUUUUCUUUUAAAAAAUGCUUGGAUGGUCCUUUCCAUUCAGCAGUUUAAUACUGGAACUUUCUGGAUUUCUCUAGAAGGUGUCAAUGACAGGCUGGCAAGCAACAACCGGGAAUUGAGUUUCUUUUGGUGUUACCUGGACUUUUAGGUUAACUAAAGCAGCCCAUUUGUGGCUUCUCAAACAUACAUUGUACACCUGCUUUAAUCAUUAAAGAAAAUGGUGCAUUGACCAGAAGUGAAGAAUGUCCACCUUAAAAAUAAAGAUGAAAUCCCACCCUUCCUGGGACAGCAAGGCUGGUGCUUCUUCGAUGAUAAGAGUCCUUUCCUGGGUGUCAAAGCCAUACUGAUUGGCUACUAGCUGUCUUUAAAACAAACACAUAAAAAACCCCAAAACGCGAAGGAAUGUAUCCAUGAUUUCUUUAGUGUUCCUCCUCUAACGAGGUAUAAAACCAGUGAAAACCAUGCUUCUCCAGAGCAGUUCCUUAGAGUUCUUGGAGAGGUUUCCCCGGGGAGAGUCAGUCCUCAGUCUGGCUCAGAUAAAACUCUUUUCUAUUCCUAUUAUAGGUGGUUCAUUAAUUAUUUCUGUCGACAAUGCCCUGAAAUCGCCAAAUGCAGGGCCGCAAGGACCCACCACUAGAGCAGGAUGGCAGCCAGUCGGUGCACCAAGCACAGCAACCGCACUGGGUCCUCGCGGGGAGCCAGCUCCAUGCAGGCUCCUAACCACCCCGAGGCAGAAGUGGGGACGGCCAGGAAAGGGAGCCGGCACCCACCCGGGGACAAGAGACUUCUGGUCGGGGGAGGCCGGGCAGCACUUGGAGGGGAAAACCCUACCUGUGAUUGUUCCAGGCCCCCUCCCUAACCCUCUCAGUGACCCACGCUGAGCUGAGCAGGUACGCAGGGACUGGUGAAUUCAUUCCUUUCACACAGAGGGCCCAAGCAGUGAUUGAAUCGCUGGAAAUUCAGCAGUGAACCCAGCAUGAGCGUCCCCCAGAAUGUGGACUACCUUCUCACAGGGGCCACAGACGGGGGAGCAGAUCCUGAGUCAGUGGGCGGUGAAUAUCUGGAAGUUUCUAGAAGCAGGUGGGGGCGGGAGGGAUUGGGGAAAGAUGAGGGUGGCUGCUGCUGAAAUGAAUUGGCAGGAUAAUGCGCCCCAAUUGCUGGGAGUCCAUCCUCCAUGCUCAUUAAAAUCCACACCUUCCUAUUUUAUCUGAGACUGAGGAUUUCAAAACACACACACACACACACACACACACGCACGUGAACACACACGGGAUCUCUGGAAGCCACCACCUCAAAGCCCUGCCAGGAGCAAACACUCCCUGGUGAGCAUUCAAAAGCAGGCGAUCAAGACAUACAAGAGAUGCAGGAGUUACAGGGAAGGCGCAGUUCUGAUGAGUUAGAACCAGUGUCCCCUGAGACGUGGACUUGCUCCAAGGAGCAGGACAGAAUGACCUCCAGAGUGUUUUUAAUACACUAUGUUUAUUCUCACUGCGAUGGCAGAGACAAGGCAGUCCUGGAAAGAGAACAGCAUCCAGAGGUCAGCGAAAAUUGCCCGCAGUGGAAAAGCUAUUACCAAAUUUUAAAACACAAUAAAAGAGUUUAAUAAGGUGUCCGGUUUACAAAAUAAAUCCAUAAAAAUCGAUGGCUUUCGUUUUACACCAAUAAUAACCUGGCAGAAAGUGUAAUGGGAGGAAAAUUCCACAUGCAGUCAUGACAAUAAAUAUGAAAUACCCAGGAAUAAUUGCCCUGAGAUGUGCUGAAGUCCACGGUGAGCGCUUUAAAAUGUACUUGCCAAGAAGACACACAUAUCAUGUUCUUCAGAGGGAGCAGAGGAUAUGUAGUUUGAAUUUUCCGUGCUGUGAUUCUCAUUACCCUGGGAUUAAUUUGCUCUGGCAUCUGCAUUCUCCACGAUGCUGUGAACUCCAAGAUGCUGUGUCACCUCCUGCUGUGUUUUAGUACAUGUCCAGGUUCCUGGAUCAUAGCAGGUGCUCAGUAAAUACUGGCUGGCUUAGUGAGUCGAGAUGGAGAGGACCACAUCCAGGCUGUUUUAAAGGAACCACCAGAGGAUCCAAGAUUGAGCCCUAAAGCCCGAAAGAAUGGCUCCAAACCACAAUGGUUUUAGACAAUUAGAAAUUUAUUUCUUUCACUGUAGUAUUCCCGGAACCUUGGCAAAGAGGGUAGCGAUCAGCCUCUUAGGCAUUAUCCCAGCCUGGGGUGAAAGGGACAAAGGACCCACCCCACAAAAGCAGCCGUUCUCGCGGCCCCAUGAAGCAGUAAGAGCUAGAAGUCCCCCUCAGACUCCUCUGUACUGGGGGCCAAUGAGGCUCCUUGGAAUGUUCCAGAGACUUCCUUGGGGAACAGGAAGUGCCUUCAAGGCUUUCGAAUGGCAGUGGAAGGAAACCAUUGUUAUUGGAAACAAAAUCUAACCUGGUAACUGCAGCCCUGUCUUCUUAGAAGCUGAGGACCAAAACACAAUCCAAACAGCAGUGGAACAAAAUCUCUAGGCCCUCUCCUUCUUGAAGACCUUGAUGAGGAAGAGAGAAGGAGCAACUCUUCAGGCGGACGCCCCACUGCGUAGGGAGGAUCCUGAUGAAUUUCUGGUCUGCGGAGAGGCUCAGCGUCUAGUCUGGGAGUGAAAAACUGGAAAGCACAACUGUUCUGUAUAUUAAAAGGGAGGAAGAUUUGAGGGUUUACUGAAAACAGGGGGCGCACUGGAGCAGAGGAGAAAGGAGAGAGCAAACUGGUGGAAGAACCAGGAGCCCAGGCUGGUGACAAUGGUCAGAGACUUUAGGAACCAGAAGUCCCAUGGCUCACCUAAGCCAGGCACAGAAACAGAUGGUUCUCAACAUCCAGGAAAGUUGCUGAGCUCCAUGCCUGGAUCUGCAAAAAGGAUAGGAUGCUGCCGAGGGAGGGAAGAGCCAGAGGAGGUCUGAGUUCUGCCAAAGGUCAAACACGAGGUGCAGAAUCCACAGGGAGACUCAGGGCGAGGGUUUGAGAAGACAGCCCUCAAAGGAUUCCUUGGUGUGACUUGCAGGGAAGUUCCAAGAAAGCUCCCCUGAUCCAAAGCCACCCCAACGGCAGGUCUGAUGCCCAUGCAGAAGGUGAUAAACACUCUUGCCCAUCCUGCCCAGAGCAGACCACUCACAGAGCUCAAGCCUGGAAGGACUUUUGCAAGAGCCCAAUUCCUUUCCAACCUCAAGCUUGUCCAUAAAUGACCAUGAGAUCAGGGGAGUGGAAAUAUAGCAAGUGAGGACUGAUGAAAAGAACUCGGGGUGUUUGGACUAAAACAAGAAGGCCUGGGAGGACGAGAGAACCAUCUCCAAACCAGGAUGGGAAUGGGCUUAUCAUCUAUUAUGAUUCUGGAGGGCGAAACUGAAGUCAGAAGAUAGAAGCAGCAGGAAAAAAUAACUUGGCUCAAGGCGAGGGGGGGCGUUCUUGUCGCUUGAGAAAGUGAAAGUGACUUCCUGUGAACAGUGAGAGAAGAGGCAGAGGAGGUGAGAGCCUGACCUCCGGUGCUUGGUGCGGAGUGGUGGGGCACAGUGUCCAAGCUGAAAUGGGGUGAGAUUCUUGGAUGGGAUGCCCUGAUUCUAACCCCCCGCUAAGAUCCCAGCAAUAACACCACCUGCAGAGCCCACCAUGGGAAACGGAGCUGCUCACAGGGCAGGAGGUGGCUCCCUGAAGCUGUGGUGACCAAGCACUUUGGGGAUUAUUUCCAGAGUCAGCAUGAGUGUCUGUGAGUGCACGUGGGGACAGCAGGACAGACCCUCAGCAAGGUCUUGCAAUGACCUUCUCAAGUGGGCCUUCCCUGAGCAGAGGGGUUUCCAGAACAUCUCCUUGCCUGAGUCACUGACUUAAAGGCAGAGAAUUGGGGAA